rnacentral:rRNA from 1 species
GAGUUUGAUCCUGGCUCAGGACGAACGCUGGCGGCGCGCCUAACACAUGCAAGUCGAACGAGCGAGAGAGAGCUUGCUUUCUCGAGCGAGUGGCGAACGGGUGAGUAACGCGUGAGGAAGCUGCCUCAAAGAGGGGGACAACAGUUGGAAACGACUGCUAAUACCGCAUAAGCCCACAGCUCGGCAUCGAGCAGAGGGAAAAGGAGCAAUCCGCUUUGAGAUGGCCUCGCGUCCGAUUAGCUAGUUGGUGAGGUAAUGGCCCACCAAGGCGACGAUCGGUAGCCGGACUGAGAGGUUGAACGGCCACAUUGGGACUGAGACACGGCCCAGACUCCUACGGGAGGCAGCAGUGGGGAAUAUUGCACAAUGGGGGAAACCCUGAUGCAGCGACGCCGCGUGGAGGAAGAAGGUCUUCGGAUUGUAAACUCCUGUUGUUGAGGAAGAUAAUGACGGUACUCAACAAGGAAGUGACGGCUAACUACGUGCCAGCAGCCGCGGUAAAACGUAGGUCACAAGCGUUGUCCGGAAUUACUGGGUGUAAAGGGAGCGCAGGCGGGAAGACAAGUUGGAAGUGAAAUCUAUGGGCUCAACCCAUAAACUGCUUUCAAAACUGUUUUUCUUGAGUAGUGCAGAGGUAGGCGGAAUUCCCGGUGUAGCGGUGGAAUGCGUAGAUAUCGGAGGAACACCAGUGGCGAAGGCGGCCUACUGGGCACCAACUGACGCUGAGGCUCGAAAGUGUGGGUAGCANACAGGAUUAGAUACCCUGGUAGUCCACACCGUAAACGAUGAUUACUAGGUGUUGGAGGAUUGGCCCCUUCAGUGCCGCAGUUAACACAAUAAGUAAUCCACCUGGGGAGUACGACCGCAAGGUUGAAACUCAAAGGAAUUGACGGGGGCCCGCACAAGCAGUGGAGUAUGUGGUUUAAUUCGACGCAACGCGAAGAACCUUACCAAGUCUUGACAUCCUGCGACGCACAUAGAAAUAUGUGUUUCCUUCGGGACGCAGAGACAGGUGGUGCAUGGUUGUCGUCAGCUCGUGUCGUGAGAUGUUGGGUUAAGUCCCGCAACGAGCGCAACCCUUACUGUCAGUUACUACGCAAGAGGACUCUGGCAGGACUGCCGUUGACAAAACGGAGGAAGGUGGGGAUGACGUCAAAUCAUCAUGCCCUUUAUGACUUGGGCUACACACGUACUACAAUGGCGUUAAACAAAGAGAAGCAAGACCGCGAGGUGGAGCAAAACUCAGAAACAACGUCCCAGUUCGGACUGCAGGCUGCAACUCGCCUGCACGAAGUCGGAAUUGCUAGUAAUCGUGGAUCAGCAUGCCACGGUGAAUACGUUCCCGGGCCUUGUACACACCGCCCGUC